rnacentral:rRNA from 1 species
CCUGACUGCGGUGCCGUGCCGGGCCCCGCCGUGUGCACUUUCUGUCGGCAGAGGGCCACAACCGGUUCGGCGUGGCGGUGAGAUGUCAGGUGGGGUUGUAGGUGGGGGCGUUCGCGUCCCUACCAGCCCCGCUUGUCGAGUCGCCUCCGGACCGAGGAACAGCCAAGCGCUUCGAGGCCACCUUCCUUUCGGGGUGAGUACGACUGGGAGAGACUGGGCAACCGUGUCUUCCGAACGCUCACUUUCGAUUUGCGUGGGGCUGGCCGGGUGCAUUUGUGUGGGUUUGUGGCGAGUCUGUCGGCACUCCACCCGACCCGUCUUGAAACACGGACCAAGGAGUCUAACAUGCGCGCGAGUCAUUGGGUGGUACGAAACCCAAAGGCGCAGUGAAAGCGAGGUCGGUCAAACGCCUAGGUGGGAUCCGUCCCCUUUUCCUUCUCUCGGGAGGGUCAUUUGGGGGCGGCGCACCACCGGCCCGUCCCGUCUGCGCUGGCAGUGGGGCGGAGCAAGAGCGCGCACGCUGGGA